rnacentral:rRNA from 1 species
CGGAGGGUGCGAGCGUUGUCCGGAAUCACUGGGCGUAAAGGGCGCGUAGGCGGCGCGGCAAGUCCAUGGUGAAAGCUCGUGGCUCAACUGCGAGUCGGCCAAGGAUACUGCUGCGCUCGAGCACUGUAGAGGCAGGUGGAAUUCCGGGUGUAGCGGUGGAAUGCGUAGAGAUCCGGAAGAACACCGGUGGCGAAGGCGGCCUGCUGGGCAGUAGCUGACGCUGAGGCGCGACAGCGUGGGGAGCAAACAGGAUUAGAUACCCUGGUAGUCCACGCCGUAAACGAUGGGCACUAGGUGCUUGGGGGAGCGACCCUCUGAGUGCCGGCGCUAAACGCAUUAAGCGCCCCGCCUGGGGAGUACGGCCGCAAGGCUG